rfam:Arabis alpina cultivar Pajares Aa.chr5_contig_2752, whole genome shotgun sequence.
UGGCGAUGAUUAUAAAUGAGAAAGGAUUUUGAGUGGGGAGUGUGAACAAAACUCUUAUGGGAUUGAGAGGAAAANNAAAACCUAAAUCGAAAUCGAAGGAGAAACGUACAUAUGAUUUUUCCCUUUUUUGAUUGAUGGUUAUUUUUCUUUCAUCCCUAUCCCUCGAUGACGGUCGUACCAAUCUGUACACUUGAUAUGAGCCAU